GAUGAAGACGUAGCGAAAUGCGAUAAUUAAUGUGAAUUGCAGAAUUCCGUGAAUCAUCGAGUCUUUGAACGCACAUUGCGCCUCAUGACAUUCCGUGAGGCAUGCCCAUCUCAGCGUUAGAAAAUAUUCUCAAAUUUUAGUUUUGUGCUAAAAUUUGGAUCAUGUCAAAGAAGCUAUUACUAUUAUUGUGAUCGCUCUUUGGAAAUUGAUAGGUCUUUGAGUUGCUACUCAUAGAACGUGAUGAAUCUUUCUUCGUUCUAUUGUAAUUCGCUCUGGUAGUCCUAAAACUUGUAUGCCUGUGGCAUAUCUUGUAAUUUGACCUGAGAUUGGGUAGGGAUACCCGCUGAACUUAAGCAUAUCAAUAAGCGGAGGA
rnacentral:misc_RNA from 1 species